CAUAGAAAAUAAUAAACUAUAACCUUUCUUAUAGAAAGAAGCCACAGCACCACAAACUCACUAUUUACAUAUU